ACUUGACUUCUCUGAGAAACUCCCUCUCAUGAUUAUAAAAUCUGAGCAACAAAGCGGAAAUUUCUGACAAAAAUUUUGAGGAAAGCUGCAGUAUCAUGCCACUUCAAGAAAUCUCACAGUCCAGUCUUCUAAUUUUCCAUCUAGUUCUAGUAGAAAAAAUUAAAAGGCCAUGAUGUGCAGGAUGUCCAAGAGUAGUUGGCCUUUACCAUCUCUGCCACAAUAGUACAUACAUUCAGCACUCUGUGAACAUUAGUGACUCCCCAUUUUGGGUUGCCAGAGAUUCACACAUCACUUUUAAAAAUCCUAUUUACAAUACAGUGAGCUUAGAAGGAUAAAAUUAAAGGAAAAAAGAGGGGGGAAAAAAGGGCUUCAAGAUUUCCUUGUUUAAUAGAAAAUAAGAAUAAGAGAUGGCAUAUGCACACAGUUCAGAAGUACACAUCCUACUUUUUCACAGGCCAAUUAAAAAAUAAAGGAAAACCACUCACAUCAGAACUAUUUCAGUUUGUUAUGGUCACUGCUGUGAUGGUCUUCAAGCCAGGCGCAGAAUUCAUGAUAGUAAAUUGCACACACCCAUAUUGUGGCCAUGAGCACAGGGAUCUAACAGUAGGGCUCAGAAGAGCUGGCACAUUGCACAUUUAGUAAUGUGAUUUAAGUUGUUGUUACUGAAGACAGGAACACAUCUCCAAACUGAUCUGUCUCCUACAAGUAGGCGCUUUUUAUGUGAAUUUCAUUCCCAGAGCUUGAAGACUUUCCAUGCAUCUGUGCACUCCAUUUGGACAUUUUGUUAAAGAAAUCUGCAUGCUUGUCUUUCUAGACAGGAAUGGAAGGGAAAGCUGGAUCUGCCUCUGUGCCAGGGGCUGUUGGUGAAGCCCUGGGACCAUGAUGUGAGCCAAAAUCCCAAUUCAUCCUCAGUGGACUCAAGCAAACACUUUCUUGGAGACUGUCCUGUCUCCUGGAGUUGUAACACUUUCCCCCUCUCCAGAUGAGCAAAGGUCCCCAUGAGAGCUGAGUUGAAAUGGUCCUGGGCAUAGGGAGAGGCCCGUGAGGAGCUGUGACUGUGCUCCAAAGUGGAAGCUGAUCCCCUCUUUCGUGCACAGGGUCACUGCCUGGGUUACACAGCAGCUCUGCAGGAACAUCACGUGCAGGAUCCCCACCACAUGGGCACAUCCCACAUGGAUCCAGGCAUGUGGGGACAUCCCAGGCAGGCCCCCAGGACAUCUAUCCAAUCAGUCCCCAGGAGGCACAGGUGCAGGAUCCCUGGCCCUGUCACUCUGAGGAGCUUCAUUCCCAGAGAUCAACCAGAUCUCAUAUGAUGCCUGAUAAAAAGAAAAUGACUUCCUAAUACUAUACAAAGCCUGUAAAAAAUGCACAUGCAAAUACACUCAAAUACUUGAAAUUAAAAUUCCAAUAGUAUAUUCUGUUUUCAUUCAUAUGUUAUUACUACUUUUUUUUCAGAAGUCAUAAAUUUUCCUGCUUUAAGUUGUUGCCUGAUAUAAAAUUAAUUCCAAAUGAGUGGGUUUUUACUGUAAAUGUCCUUGUUUUAGUUUUUCAGUUAUUUUUCAUAAAAACAUUUUACAUCUAACUACCUCAGCUGCCUUUUGUUUUGUUUUGGCGCAUAUGAAGUCAUGCACUUUCUAUAUUUGGGGAUUUGGGGGGAGGAAUUAUUUCAAUUUUAAAUAACCAGGUUCAAAGCCAUGUUGAUCAAUUUAUAGAGGAGGUCAGUUUAAGGAGACAUAAUUAUUGACAGUUGCAGAACAUACAUUUUAUUUUUAGGUUGUGUUGGGGUAUAGUUUAACAAAAAUACACCAUAAGCUGCUUAUUAAUUUGCCUUAAAAAUGUAUGCUCUUUCCUAUUCAAGUUGUGUUAUUUAAUUCUUCUCUUGUACACAAUUUAUGUGACAAAGACUAACAUAACAGUUGGCAGAUAAACAGCAAAUUGAACAGAGUGGACCAAUAGUUUCUCAGUUGUCUGUUGUAAACUGUUGCAUUAUACACUGAUUGUGCUAAAAGAAUUGUUACUGUGCUUAUACUCCUUAGUCACCACUGCGGAAAUAAAGUGAUGGAAGAUCACAUUUGUGUUUAUGGAACAGUGUAGAUACCCCCUCCCCCCCGCCCCAGUACAAGCACAGUGACUAUAAGUGAAUGAUAAUCAUUGCAGAACUUUGUGCUUUGACUUGUAAACAUUGUAAAAAUGUAUUUGGUAUUUUAUUUGAAAUGAAGAAUCAAAAUAGUUAUUAAAAAAAAAAAGAAAAAGAAAAAGAAAUCUUCCUGUAAAUAUAUAUAUUCUGAAUCCAUGUAUACAAACAUUCCUUUAGAGUUCAGAUUGUGAAGAGUGUCUUUAUCGGCUAGAGACCGCUGCCUCCCGUGGCGGAGGUUACAUGUGCUAUAGUAAAGAACACAGUGUGUGAAGUAAUUGAUGUACUGCAGUACCAUAGUUAUUUUGGUCUGUUAAGUAAGUUGCAAUUUGUGAUGAAAUGAAGUUGAAAGUAGUGCUUCAUACUAACAAAUUUCCUUGGUUACAACUUGAUUUUUCUUGUAAAACUUAAAAGGGAAACUUGAAAAUUUUAUAUAUUUGGAUUUUGUAGAUUUUUUUUUUAUUUUAUUGCAACACAAGGUACCAAAAUCAUUAAAUAAAGUACACUGUGGUCAUUUUA